CACAAGAGCUCCUUAAAGAAGAAAUACUUCAAGAAUGAUUUCAGCCUUGAAGAGAAGUUGCAAACAAUCCCACCAGGAAUGUUCAGGUACUAAUGGGAAAAUGCAGUCAGAUUUUGGAGUUCAAAAAAAGGACAGGACCGAGAGCAUGUUGGUGUUGCUAGCAGGCAACAACAAAAGUUUACACACACGGCUGGAUCAAAGAGCUCUGCUUGUAUAGCUCAUGAGGAGGAAAAUACAUCCGGUUCUAAAG